UAAUAAGUGUUUUAUGGCACUUUUUAAAUCCAUAUCCACCUUGUGUGCAAUGUCAGUCGAUCUUCUUUAUUGAGAUCGACCAAACAUCAACCUUUAUUUUUAACUCUUUGUCUGAAAAAUAUUAUGAAUAAACAAUUCAAAAUA
rnacentral:misc_RNA from 1 species